AGAGACCUUAAAAAAACUGAAGAAAAAACCUUUACAAAAACUAAUAAAUUUUUGAUAAGCCUUUUGUGAAGUAUCGAGGGUAUCAUAUCCGAUACGGGUAUCGGAGAAUCGGAUUCGUAUACGUAGAUGAUUCUCAAGUAUCGGCGCAACCCAGUGUUUUCAUAACCCUGCGGCCUUCACUGUUUCUGCUCUCUUCAACUUCCGCUUUGAAUUAUCCUCCAACAAAAUGAAAUGAGAUGAAAUUGCUUAUCAGAAGAGUAUUCUUCAAUUAUCACCAUCUUCCCGUGCUUCUAACAUCACUCAACUUUAUCAGAAGUUAUCGGGGUUCAACAACAGCCCAAUUUGAGAAUUUUGUAAAGUCUGGAGAGAUUAAAAAUCCUGAAAUUGCAAAGCUGUACUUUCAAAAAAUGAUUACAUUGAACCCAUUACCAUCAACAAUUACUUUUGAUCAUCUACUAACUUCAAUAUCCAAGCUUACAUGUUAUUCCGCUAUUUUUCCGUUGUAUAAAAUCAUGAAAAUGGUCGGAAUCCAACCUAGUAUCUACACAAUGAACAUUGGGAUCAACUGUUGUUGUAAAUUAAGUCAAGUUGAUUACGGGUUCUGUUUGUUUGGUGAAAUUUUGAAGAGGGGUUAUGAUCCUGAUAUAGUUACUUACAAUACUUUGAUCAAGGGUCUCUGCGUACAGGAACAGAUAGGUUCUGCCAUUGAUGUGUUUGAGAAAAUGACUGAGACGGAUGUUCGAGCUGAUGCUGUUACAUAUAAUACUCUUAUAUGUGGGUUUUGUAGCAUUGGUGAGGUCAGUGUUGGUUUAAAGUUGCUGAGAAUGAUGGUAAAUUGGCACUGCAGGCCCGAUGUGAUCACUUAUACUUCUUUGAUUCAUGGAUUUUGCAGUUUUGCUCAGGUAGAUGAAGCAAUCAAACUCUUUGAUGAGAUGUUUAGACGAGGAAUUUCAGCUAAUAUUAUCACUUACAAUUCUUUAAUUCAUGGUUUAUGCAAGUAUGGGCGGUGGGAGGAAGGGAGGAGAUACUUUUAUCAACUGAUGGACCGAGGGAUCUCACCGAACGUAGUAACGUUCAGUGUUUUACUAGAUUCCUUCUGGAAAGAAGGUAAAAUGAAAGAGGCUUGUUAUGUCUUUGGAAUGAUGAGCGAGUUAGGCAAUGACCCUACUGUGGUAACUUAUACUUCCAUGAUAAAUGGCUACUGCAAGAAUUUCAGGUUGUAUGAAGCUGUUCAACUCUUCAACGAUAUGCAACACAAAGGUAUCCAGCCCAACCAAGUUACUUACAAUAUACUAAUAGAUGGACUAUGCCGGAAUGGAGAGGUUGGAACUGCAAUAAACUUGUUUAAUGAGAUAAAAUCUAGUGGACAAUCCUUAGACCUAAUAACAUAUGGUGCACUGUUAAAUGGGCUUUUAAAAAACCAAGUAGUUGACAGAGCAAUUGAAAUAUUUCAUUCCAUGGAGGAUAAUGGCUUCGAAGCUAACAUUUGUAUCUACAAGAUACUCAUUGAUGGGUUGUGCAAGGCUGGGAAACUGGUAUAUGCAGGGCAAAUAUUUUGCGAACUUUGUGAUAAAAGAUUGGUUCCGGACAUUAUAACAUAUACUACAAUGAUAAAUGGCCUAUGCAAGAAAGGGAUGUCACUUGAGGCUGAGAAAAUUAUCAUCGAAAUGGAAAAGAAUGGUUGCUUACCUGACACUUUCAUGUAUAACACCAUUCUUCAAGGUUUUAUUUUUGAACAAGAUGUCAAUAAGGCAAUGCAUUUUCUUCACGAGAUGCGUGAAAGAAAACUUGUUCCGGACAUUGCUGUGAUUUCAUUGUUAAAUAAUACUCUUGCGCUGGAUCAACUUGAUAACUAUAAUUAUUCUCCGAAACAAGUUAAUGAUUGAGAGUACCUGCUUCAGCUACUUUGCAUGGUACUAAGGCAUUGGAGUUCUUCUCCAUUUGAGGUGUUCUCACUGUCCCUAAGAAGAUUUCACUGUCAAAAUAUUGUACAGCAGAAAGCAUCCUACAAGUUAUCUCGAGUCUUGCUUGAAAAUAGCUCUCGGAUGAUAUGGAUAAAUGGGUACAAAAGUUGGGGGAGUGAGUUCAAAAUCUGGAAGAAGGAUUCUGUAUGGAUGCUAUUACCUUCCUCUCUGUGUGUAUGUGUUCAGUCCACCCCACCAAAUUGCAAGCCUUGUUGCAACAAACAUGGGCGCAAGCAGUAGAUGGUGUAGAGAACGUCAUCUGGUUAUGUAAGCAAAGGCAAUAUAACCAUCAAAGGUGUUUUCCGUUGACAUUGUUUAAUUCAGCAAAUUGGGGUGGAGUAAUUCAUCAUGAAUUACAAAGAUUGUUAUGUGUACUUGUAAUUCAAGAUGAAUUACAAAGAUUGGUCAAGGAAUACAGGACUUUUGUUCCUCCAUUCACCAAUGGCAUUUUGCAGAAUUACAAGGAGGACAGUAUAGUCGCUAAGAAAAACUUCGGAACGUUUCUAACUGCGUUUUAUCCCUACUUGUUUGAUAACUAACAUUUCCAUUUUGGGCACCCCAUUAUUUAGGCUUUUAGAAUACUGAUGCCUAUAUUAUUAGCCUAACCGUAAGCUGCCAGACAAAUUUGCCCACCUAUACCUCUCAUGUAAAUUACAGUUUAUAGUAAUCUGAUUUUAUUGCUGGUGUAA